rnacentral:sRNA from 1 species
CUUCAGGGAUCAUGCUCACUUUCUGGCUGGUAGCCCUAGUGUGUGCCCUCGCCAUCCUGAGAUCCAAAAUUAUGACAGCCUUAAAAGAGGAUGCCCAGGUGGACCUGUUUCGUGACAUCACUUUCUACGUCUACUUUUCCCUCUUACUCAUUCAGCUCGUCUUGUCCUGUUUCUCAGAUCGCUCACCCCUGUUCUCGGAAACCAUCCACGACCCUAAUCCCUGCCCAGAGUCCAGCGCUUCCUUCCUGUCGAGGAUCACCUUCUGGUGGAUCACAGGGUUGAUUGUCCGGGGCUACCGCCAGCCCCUGGAGGGCAGUGACCUCUGGUCCUUAAACAAGGAGGACACGUCGGAACAAGUCGUGCCUGUUUUGGUAAAGAACUGGAAGAAGGAAUGCGCCAAGACUAGGAAGCAGCCGGUGAAGGUCGUGUACUCCUCCAAGGAUCCUGCCCAGCCGAAAGAGAGUUCCAAGGUGGAUGCGAAUGAGGAGGUGGAGGCUUUGAUUGUCAAGUCCCCACAGAAGGAGUGGAACCCCUCUCUGUUUAAGGUGUUAUACAAGACCUUUGGGCCCUACUUCCUCAUGAGCUUCUUCUUUAAGGCCAUCCACGACCUGAUGAUGUUUUCCGGGCCGCAGAUCUUAAAGUUGCUCAUCAAGUUCGUGAACGACACGAAGGCCCCAGACUGGCAGGGCUACUUCUACACCGUGCUGCUGUUUGUCACUGCCUGCCUGCAGACCCUCGUGCUGCACCAGUACUUCCACAUCUGCUUCGUCAGUGGCAUGAGAAUCAAGACCGCUGUCAUUGGGGCUGUCUAUCGGAAGGCCCUGGUGAUCACCAAUUCAGCCAGAAAAUCCUCCACGGUCGGGGAGAUUGUCAACCUCAUGUCUGUGGACGCUCAGAGGUUCAUGGACUUGGCCACGUACAUUAACAUGAUCUGGUCAGCCCCCCUGCAAGUCAUCCUUGCUCUCUACCUCCUGUGGCUGAACCUGGGCCCUUCCGUCCUGGCUGGAGUGGCGGUGAUGGUCCUCAUGGUGCCCAUCAAUGCUGUGAUGGCGAUGAAGACCAAGACUUACCAGGUGGCCCACAUGAAGAGCAAAGACAAUCGGAUCAAGCUGAUGAAUGAAAUUCUCAGUGGGAUCAAAGUGCUAAAGCUUUAUGCCUGGGAGCUGGCAUUCAAGGACAAGGUGCUGGCCAUCAGGCAGGAGGAGCUGAAGGUGCUGAAGAAGUCUGCCUACCUGUCAGCCGUGGGCACCUUCACCUGGGUCUGCACGCCCUUCCUGGUGAGUGAAGCCACAUUUUUCCUGGUCCUCAUUGUUUGAUGUUUUAUUUUGUCUGCGUACCUGAAUAUUUUUAAAAGGUCACUAUGUUGCCCAGGUGCAGUGGCUCAUGCUUGGUAAUCCCAGCACUCUGGGAGGCCAAAGCAGGUGGAUCACCUGAGGUCAGGAGUUCAAGACCAGCCUGGCCAACAUGGUGAAACCCAGUCUCUACUAAAAAUACAAAAAAAUAAGCCGGGUGUGGUGGCGCAUGCCUGUAGUCCCAGCUACUC